AACUGCAAAGGGACUGAAAGGUGUGGUCUCCCAGAGGUCCAGGAAGGAAAGAAGCCCUGGGAAGUUUCCCACAAGGCCCAGCUUCUUCUCAAGGAGACUGUGGAUAAGGAAAGAAGGCAGGCAAGGCUGCUGUGCUGGAAAGAAGGUGGAGCUCCCCAGAAGCAGACUGCAGAGAACGGAGUGCAGGAAGAUUCCCAAAGAGAGCCUCGGGAUGAACGCCUACGGAGAAGGUGGCAGUGGGA
rnacentral:lncRNA from 10 species